UACGUAGGGGGCAAGCGUUGUCCGGAUUUAUUGGGCGUAAAGAGCGCGUAGGCGGUUUGGUAGGUCCGUUGUGAAAACUCGAGGCUCAACCUCGAGACGCCGAUGGAAACCAUCAGACUAGAGUCCGGAAGAGGAGAGUGGAAUUCCUGGUGUAGCGGUGAAAUGCGCAGAUAUCAGGAGGAACACCAAUGGCGAAGGCAGCUCGCUGGGACGGUACUGACGCUGAGACGCGAAAGCGUGGGGAGCAAACAGG
rnacentral:rRNA from 1 species